UGAUUAAUAAUUAAAGGGCUGCAGUAUAUUGACUGUACAAAGGUAGCAUAAUCAUUAGUCAUUUAAUUGAUGACUUGUAUGAAAGAUUGGAUGAAAUAUAAACUGUCUCUUAAUUAAAUUUAGAAUUUAAUUUUUUAAUUAAAAAGUUAAAAUGAGUUAAAAAGACGAGAAGACCCUAUAGAGUUUUAUAAUUAGUUUAAUUAAAGUUAUAUUUAAAAAUUGAAAUUAAAUUAUUUAUUUUGUUGGGGUGAUAAAAAAAUAUAAUUAACUUUUUUUUUAGAAAAACAUUUAUAAGUGAUUAAAUGAUCCAGUAUUAUUGAUUAUAAGAAAAAAUUACCUUAGGGAUAACAGCGUAAUUUUUUUUUUUAGUUCAAAUAAGAAAAAGAGUUUGCGACCUCGAUGUUGGAUUAAGAUAAAAUUUAAAUGUAGAAG
rnacentral:rRNA from 1 species